AACUCACACUAUGAUGUGGCUUCCUAAUGCAUGAGACAGAAACAUCUCUGAAGCCCAUAGAAUGGUUAAUUCACACUUAUUCACAUUGAAAUUUGAAACCGAUUAUCACAUUAGUUUACUGCUGAUGAAUCUCGGAUUUUCAGCUUGUUGAUACUCUAAGUGGGAGCCUUAAAAUCGACAUUGACGAAAUAUUAUCAGUGACCUAUGUUCACAGGAUUUACUUGUUCUAAUGUUAUUUUCAUGGCUGACUUUCUGCUUAUAUGUGCAAAAAUCAACAGUAUUUGAGGAGUUUUACAUGCCAGGUUACACACAAAAUGACACAGCACAUAUGACAAAGCAUCUGUCAGGAUGUUAUGCCCUUCGUUUCUCUCAAUCAUUUCGCAUGUUUUGCAUACCCUGUGGAUUGAACUCGGAACCAUCCGGGCGGGAACCCACGCAAGCGUGGUAAACCCUCCCACCUCCGACCAGCUGGGCUGGCCGUCAUUGGCUGAACAUUAUGUUUAUAUCUCUAUCUUAUCACCGUUUUGCACAUUGUUUUUAAUGGUAAUUGAACUUUAAGUUUAGCUAUCUAUCUUAUCAUCGUUUUUGCA